UUAAAGGCUUGUUUGCUGAUACUUCUUUGUCUUUGUGUUUAUAGGACAUUCUGAGAUUUCAAAUCUUUUCAAGACUGUUGUUCAAAUUAGAAUUAGCCCUCAUAAGAACACCAGUUGAUCUUGAUUUCCUGGAAUUUACAUGUCGUCAAGAAAUGUACCUAUGUCAGAUCCUGUCAAGACAUGUUGAUGUGCCAUCACCAAUCAUCCAGGCGCUGCAGGAGCUCUUUUCACUCGUCAGACAGCAAAUAGAACUUACCGCCCCACAGACAGAAGUAACUACCGUGGCUGGCAGGACAGGGCGUCCAAAAUACAACAUUGAAAUGGAGACUUUGGCUGAGCUUUGUGAACUAAACCUCUCUGUACGCUGCAUUGCAAAACUUCUGGGCAUUUCAGGUCGCACUAUCCGUAGACUUAUUAGAAUUUGGGUUUUCCCCGAAAACGUACAGUAACAUCAGUGAUCAAGACCUCGAUAGAUUGGUUGCCCAGAUUAAAAAUGAAAUGCCCUCUGCUGGAUACCGAAUGGUCAAAGGUAGGCUUCAAUCCAUGGGGAUUCACAUUCAGUAGAGAAGAGUAGCUGCUUCAAUGCACGAAGUGGAUUCGAUAGGAGUCCUAUCCAGAAUGUACGGAUUGGGAUGUGUGGUACACCGCACAUAUUCUGUGAGAGGGCCCCUGUCUCUCUGGCAUGUGGAUACUAACCACAAGUUAAUAAGGUACAACAUAGUAAUUUUUGGAGCAGUGGAUGGAUACUCUAGGAAGAUAAUGUGCUUGAAUGCUGCAACGAAUAACCGAGGAUCAACAGCCCUUAGUGUCAUGAAACAGAAACACAAGAU